AUCCAGCUGACGAUUCCCAAAUAGGACGAAACGAGCGUCCAACUGAAU
rnacentral:hammerhead_ribozyme from 1 species